ensembl:lncRNA
GAUGUCGAGGCGGUGACCGAUGCUGUUCCGCAGGUCGAGGCGGUGCCCGAGGCUGUGCCCGAUGCCGAGGCUGUGCCCGAUGCCGAAGCGGUGCCCGAUGCUGUUCCGGAGGCCGAGGCGGUGCCCGAUGCGCAGGCCGAGGCGAUGCCCGUGUCCAGGGCCGUUCCCGAGGCGGUGUCCUUGUCCCAUGCCGUUCCGGAGGCCGCUCCCAGGGCGGUGCCCGAGGUCGUGCCCGAGGCCGUUCCCGAGGCGGUGUCCAAUGCCGUGACCUGGCCAUCGCCACAGUCUGCUCCUCACUGGCUCCCCGAAUGGCAGGUUCCGUUCGGGCCACUCAAAUGGCGAAUUCCUCCCUGGCCAUCUGCACAACGAGAAUGGACUGAUCCACCGUGGCCACCUGAACGGCCUGGUCCCUCGUGGUCCCCUGAACUUUCGGGUCCACCAUGGCCCCCUGAUCUGACCGAGCCACCUGGGCUGCCAGGGGAGCCAUCGCUGCCGGUCCCAGUUCCCUCACACGGGCCUGGCCCGCCAUCCCUCCCCCUGUUCUGCCUCCACCAGUCCACCUCCCUCCUGGUCUCUUUGUUUUGUGUUUGGUUUGUUCUGAGGAGCAUCUAGAAGCUGCUCCUUAGAGGGGGGGUAGUGUCACGGUGUCUGGUUUGUGUAUCCCUGGGUGUCCACUAGAGGUCUCACUUCCCCUUAUUGUCACCCCCUUCAGAACUACAUUUCCCACUAGCCUUAUCUGCUCAUCACUGUUCAUUGUAUUCAGCUGUCACCACUUACAUUGUUUGCACCUGUGUAUAAAUACCCUGGUUGUUCUGUCAUUGUUACGGAGUCCUUGUUGCAUGUCACCCUGCUUUUUCCUGGUUCCCUAGUGGAUGUUCGUGUUUCAUGUUUUGGACUGUUUAUGUUUGGUUUUGAC